GGGAGGUGUGAUACCGUGUUUCCUGGGAGGUGUGAUACCGUGUUUCCUGGGAGGUGUGAUACCGUGUUUCCU
rnacentral:pre_miRNA from 1 species